rnacentral:rRNA from 1 species
AGUGAACGCUGGCGGCGUGCCUAACACAUGCAAGUCGAACGGACGAAGAGAGCUUGCUCUCCUAGUUAGUGGCGCACGGGUGAGUAACACGUAGCUAACCUGCCCCAUAGUAAGGGACAACAGUUGGAAACGACUGCUAAUACCUUAUACUCCUUCUCUACCUAAGUAGAGUCGGGAAAGUUUUUUCGCUAUGGGACGGGGCUGCGGCCUAUCAGCUUGUUGGGGAGGUAAUGGCUCACCAAGGCUAUGACGGGUAGCUGGUCUGAGAGGAUGAUCAGCCACAUUGGAACUGAGACACGGUCCAAACUCCUACGGGAGGCAGCAGUGGGGAAUUUUACACAAUGGGCGAAAGCCUGAUGUAGCAACGCCGCGUGGAGGAUGAAGGAUUCAGGUUCGUAAACUCCUUUUAUAAGGGAAGAAAUUUGACGGUACCUUAUGAAUAAGCACCGGCUAACUCCGUGCCAGCCGCCGCCGUAA